GCUACGAUCCGUAGCGGGUCUGAGAGGAUGAUCCGCCACACUGGGACUGAGACACGGCCCAGACUCCUACGGGAGGCAGCAGUGGGGAAUUUUGGACAAUGGGCGCAAGCCUGAUCCAGCCAUGCCGCGAGAGUGAAGAAGGCCUUCGGGUUGUAAGGCUCUUUCGGACGGAAAGAAAUCGCACGGGCCAAUACCCUGUGUGGAUGACGGUACCGUAAGAAGAAGCACCGGCUAACUACGUGCCAGCAGCCGCGGUAAUACGUAUGGUGCGAGCGUUAAUCGGAAUUACUGGGCGUAAAGCGUGCGCAGGCGGUUGUGCAAGACAGGCGUGAAAUCCCCGGGCUUAACCUGGGAACUGCGCUUGUGACUGCACGGCUAGAGUACGGCAGAGGGGGGUGGAAUUCCACGUGUAGCAGUGAAAUGCGUAGAGAUGUGGAGGAACACCGAUGGCGAAGGCAGCCCCCUGGGCCGAUACUGACGCUCAUGCACGAAAGCGUGGGGAGCAAACAGGAUUAGAUACCCUGGUAGUCCACGCCCUAAACGAUGUCAACUAGGUGUUGGGUGGGUAAAACCAUUUAGUACCGGAGCUAACGCGUGAAGUUGACCGCCUGGGGAGUACGGCCGCAAGGUUAAAACUCAAAGGAAUUGACGGGGACCCGCACAAGCGGUGGAUGAUGUGGAUUAAUUCGACGCAACGCGAAAAACCUUACCUACCCUUGACAUGUACGGAAUCCUGAUGAGAGUUGGGAGUGCCCGAAAGGGAGCCGUAACACAGGUGCUGCAUGGCUGUCGUCAGCUCGUGUCGUGAGAUGUUGGGUUAAGUCCCGCAACGAGCGCAACCCUUGCCAUUAAUUGCCAUCAUUCAGUUGGGCACUUUAAUGGGACUGCCGGUGACAAACCGGAGGAAGGUGGGGAUGACGUCAAGUCCUCAUGGCCCUUAUGGGUAUGGCUUCACACGUCAUACAAUGGUCGGUACAGAGGGUUGCCAAGCCGCGAGGUGGAGCCAAUCCCAGAAAGCCGAUCGUAGUCCGGAUUGGAGUCUGCAACUCGACUCCAUGAAGUCGGAAUCGCUAGUAAUCGUGGAUCAGCAUGCCACGGUGAAUACGUUCCCGGGUCUUGUACACACCGCCCGUCACACCAUGGGAGUGGGUUCUACCAGAAGUAGCUAGUCUAACCGCAAGGGGGACGGUUACCACGGUAGGAUUCGUGACUGGGGUGAAGUCGUAACAAGGUA
rnacentral:rRNA from 1 species